GCCCCAGUCGCCUAAAGGAUAUGGCAAUAGCCUUCUAAGCUAUCUAAUACAGGUUCGAGUCCUGUCUGGGGCA
rnacentral:tRNA from 1 species